rnacentral:rRNA from 1 species
CCUACGGGUGACAGCAGUGGGGAAUAUUGCGCAAUGGGCGAAAGCCUGACGCAGCGACGCCGCGUGAGGGAUGAAGGUCUUCGGAUUGUAAACCUCUGUCAGCAGGGAAGAACGGUCACUGUGCUAAUCAGCAGUGAAUUGACGGUACCUGCAAAGGAAGCACCGGCUAACUCCGUGCCAGCAGCCGCGGUAAUACGGCGGGUGCGAGCGUUAAUCGGAAUUACUGGGCGUAAAGCGCUCGUAGGCGGUAUGUCAAGUCAAGGGUGAAAUCCCCGCGCUUAACGUGGGAACUGCCUUUGAAACUGGGAAACUGGAGUGUGUGAGAGGAUAGUGGAAUUCCAGGUGUAGGAGUGAAAUGCGUAGAUAUCUGGAGGAACAUCAGUGGCGAAGGCGACUAUCUGGCACAUAACUGACGCUGAGGAGCGAAAGCGUGGGUAGCAAACAGGAUUAGAUACCCUGGUAGUC